UACGUAGGUGGCAAGCGUUGUCCGGAAUUAUUGGGCGUAAAGCGCGCGCAGGCGGUCCUUUAAGUCUGAUGUGAAAGCCCACGGCUCAACCGUGGAGGGUCAUUGGAAACUGGGGGACUUGAGUACAGAAGAGGAAAGCGGAAUUCCCGGUGUAGUGGUGAAAUGCGUAGAUAUCGGGAGGAACACCAGUGGCGAAGGCGACUACCUGGCCUGUUCUUGACGCUGAGGCGCGAAAGCUAGGGGAGCAAACGGG
rnacentral:rRNA from 1 species